AUCCAGAUGACGAGUCUCAAAAAGAACGAAACGUGCGUCCUGGAU
rfam:Schistosoma mansoni, Puerto Rico, WGS project CABG01000000 data, contig: 0430